UUGGUAUAAGUAGUAUGUCAGUCCCCGCACGGCGGUCCUCUCCUCCUCGUAGUGAAAGACAUGGUCAAUUAGGCGUAAGAUAACUUACACAGGAUCCCUUCCCGUGCAAAGGAAAGCAACAGCGGAGAUUGCAGCGGCACUGGCGACGAUGAACUUCCUGUCGCACUGGCCGCCUUUGGCCCCACUCAGGGACGAGGAAAUCUACGGCGCAGGGGUCGCAAUCAAGGAAGAGGCCAGCGAAGGUGUUACCGAAGAGACGUGUGUGGAAGUUAAGGAAGAAAGCCUUGAUU
rnacentral:misc_RNA from 1 species